rnacentral:rRNA from 1 species
GUGGGAUGUUGGGUUAAGUCCCGCAACGAGCGCAACCCUUGUCAUUAGUUGCUACGAAAGGGCACUCUAAUGAGACUGCCGGUGACAAACCGGAGGAAGGUGGGGAUGACGUCAAGUCCUCAUGGCCCUUAUAGGUGGGGCUACACACGUCAUACAAUGGCCGGUACAAAGGGCUGCCAACCCGCGAGGGGGAGCUAAUCCCAUAAAACCGGUCGUAGUCCGGAUCGCAGUCUGCAACUCGACUGCGUGAAGUCGGAAUCGCUAGUAAUCGUGGAUCAGAAUGUCACGGUGAAUACGUUCCC